UACGUAGGGGGCAAGCGUUGUCCGGAAUCAUUGGGCGUAAAGAGCGUGUAGGCGGCCCGGUAAGUCCGCUGUGAAAGUCCAGGGCUCAACCCUGGAAUGCCGGUGGAAACUGUCGGGCUAGAGUCCGGAAGAGGCGAGUGGAAUUCCUGGUGUAGCGGUGAAAUGCGCAGAUAUCAGGAGGAACACCGAUGGCGAAGGCAGCUCACUGGGACGGUACUGACGCUGAGGCGCGAAAGCGUGGGGAGCAAACAGG
rnacentral:rRNA from 1 species